AACCAGCACCUCAAGUGGUCAGGAUGAUUAUUGGGCCUAAAGCAUCCGUAGCCGGCUCUGUAGGUUUUCGGUUAAAUCUGUACGCUCAACGUACAGGCUGCCGGGAAUACUGCAGAGCUAGGGAGUGGGAGAGGUAGACGGUACUCGGUAGGAAGGGGUAAAAUCCUUUGAUCUAUUGAUGACCACCUGUGGCGAAGGCGGUCUACCAGAACACGUCCGACGGUGAGGGAUGAAAGCUGGGGGAGCAAACCGG
rnacentral:rRNA from 1 species